rnacentral:rRNA from 1 species
UACAGAGGGUGCGAGCGUUGUCCGGAAUCACUGGGCGUAAAGGGCGCGUAGGUGGCGAGCCAAGUCCAUGGUGAAAGCUCGAUGCUCAACAUCGAGUCGGCCACGGAUACUGGUGCGCUUGAGCACUGUAGAGGCUAAUGGAAUUCCGGGUGUAGCGGUGGAAUGCGUAGAGAUCCGGAAGAACACCGGUGGCGAAGGCGGUUAGCUGGGCAGUUCGCUGACACUGAG